rnacentral:rRNA from 1 species
UACGUAGGUGGCAAGCGUUGUUCGGAAUUAUUGGGCGUAAAGGGCGCGUAGGCGGUUUGUUAAGUCGGCUGUGAAAGCCCGGGGCUCAACCCCGGAGGGUCAGCCGAUACUGGCAGACUAGAGUACGGAAGAGGUAGCUGGAAUUCCCGGUGUAGCGGUGAAAUACGUAGAUAUCUGGAGGAAUACCGGAGGCGAAGGCGGCUCACUGGCCCAACACUGACACUCAGACCCGAAAGCGUGGGGAUCAAACAGG